rnacentral:lncRNA from 1 species
GUUCUUUUAGGUUCUUUUUCCUUUUCUUUUUUUUUUAAUAAACGCAUUUUAAUAAAAAAAAAAUCUACUCUCUUUUUAAUGUUGAACGUUAUGUCAUCGGCAAAAGUUACAAAUUAAAGGUUUUUUCAAAUUAAUCUUAUUUUUAAUAUUAAUAUUUAAUAAAAUAUAAACAUCUCAAUCACAGAUAUCAUACAUUAUUUCAUACCUAAAAAAUUAGGCCUAAACAUACAUACAAUACAAUUCGGUUAAAAGAAAACAAAAAAAAAAAACAAUUUUCCAAGAAAACAUAUUAUAGCACCUUCAUAUCACACAAGAUUAUUACCACAUCUCUUUUUCUUUUUGUUUAACUAACAUGUAACAAAAAUGUCAGAAAGAGAGAAAAUGGGCACUUCUUAAUUUCUCUAUAUUUCAGUUUCCAGACAAAGUAAAACUUUAUAUUGGACAUAAGAAGAAAUUAAUAC